rnacentral:misc_RNA from 1 species
GAUGAAGAACGUAGCGAAAUGCGAUAAGUAAUGUGAAUUGCAGAAUUCAGUGAAUCAUCGAAUCUUUGAACGCACAUUGCGCCCUCUGGUAUUCCGGGGGGCAUGCCUGUUCGAGCGUCAUUAUAACCACUCAAGCUCUCGCUUGGUAUUGGGGUUCGCGGUUUCGCGGCCCCUAAAAUCAGUGGCGGUGCCUGUCGGCUCUACGCGUAGUAAUACUCCUCGCGAUUGAGUCCGGUAGGUCUACUUGCCAGCAACCCCGAAUUUUUUUAAGGUUGACCUCGGAUCAGGUAGGGAUACCCGCUGAACUUAAGCAUAUCAAUAAGCGGAGGA